UUAUUUUUCUUUGAUUUUAUUUAUGUGUUUUUUAUUUAUUUUCAGAAGACUGUGCAUGCUUCUAAUGAAAAUUUGGAACCAAAAGAAGUUUCAAAAGCAGAAAGGGAGUGAGUGCUGCUAUUCCAUGCCCCAAAGAAUACAGGUAGGCUUAAGACAGUGGAAUUUUCAGUAAACACUGAUGAUACUUACUGCAAAAAGCAUUCCUCCUGAAAUACUUAAGUAAAAGAGACAGUAGCUAUGAUUUUGAGCACCUUCUACAUCAAGUGAUGGUAUCUGCAGAUUUUCAAAAGCAGGUAUGGAUAGAAGAGGUAACUAAAACGUAUUGCAUGCUUGUUAUGUUCUAAGCACAAACCUAGACACCACAUGUAGAUUUUCUCAUUUCAUAUUGCCAGCAAGUCUGAGGUGUAGGUAGUAGUAUCCUGAUUUUGCUAAUGAAGAAAUGGUGACUUAGGCCACACGGGAUAAGUAGCGGAGGUCAGACUAAGACCUGGGACUCCCUGACACUGAAACCUUUUCUCUUUCCAAUGGUAUAUGUCUCAGAAGUGAAAAGUGUAGAAAGAAGAGAGCUCAUGUUGGAACCCUAGGUGAAGUCAGCACUAAAUGCUUGAAAAUAUAAAAGAAGAAGAGGGGGAAGGAGAGUGGUUGGGGAGGUAGAAAGAGAAGGAACAUGCAGCAGAGCUUUGGAGAGGAAAGAAUUUCAGCAUAGGUAUGGUUAAUGAUGCUAAAUGAUAAGUUUAGGAGGCUAAGAAUUAAGGAGUGUCGUUUUGCCGGGUAAGUGGUAACUGUUUCUUUAAACAAAUCAGUAGAAUGCUUGGAAUAAGUCAGGUUGCAAUGGAUUUCAUGCAGAAUCAGAAUGGGGGAAACAGAUUCAGCAAUUCUAGGAAAAAAAUUAAAAUAGAUUGAACAAUUGUAUGGAUUAGACAUUGUUCUUUAUAUACAUUGUUUCUGAUUUUUGCAAUGGCCCUUUGAGGCUCUAUUAUAAUCACCAUAUUUCAUUUUUUCAACAUCUGGAUUCAGUGGGUACGUGUAUAUAUUGGGGUAUAUUGC
rnacentral:lncRNA from 1 species